rnacentral:tRNA from 1 species
UAGCUCAGUUGGUAGAGCAUAUUGUUUGCAACGCCAGGGAUGUGGGUUCGAUUCCCAC